GGAGAAGUGGCAGAGUGGUCGAAUGCACCGGUCUUGAAAACCGGCGAGGGUCACACCUCCGGGGGUUCGAAUCCCUCCUUCUCCGCAA
rnacentral:tRNA from 1 species